rnacentral:rRNA from 1 species
UACGGAGGAGGCAAGCGUUAUCCGGAAUGAUUGGGCGUAAAGGGUCCGCAGGUGGCCCUGUAAGUCUGCUGUUAAAGAGUGAGGCUUAACCUCAUAAAAGCAGUGGAAACUACAGAGCUAGAGUGCGUUCGGGGUAGCAGGAAUUCCUGGUGUAGCGGUGAAAUGCGUAGAGAUCAGGAAGAACGCCGGUGGCGAAGCGUGCUACUAGGCCGUAACUGACACUGAGGGACGAAAGCUAGGGGAGCGAAUGGG